AGACCCGAAACCCGGUGAUCUAGCCAUGGGCAGGUUGAAGGUUGGGUAACACUAACUGGAGGACCGAACCGACUAAUGUUGAAAAAUUAGCGGAUGACCUGUGGCUGGGGGUGAAAGGCCAAUCAAACCGGGAGAUAGCUGGUUCUCCCCGAAAGCUAUUUAGGUAGCGCCUCGUGAAUUCAUCUCCGGGGGUAGAGCACUGUUUCGGCUAGGGGGCCAUCCCGGCUUACCAACCCGAUGCAAACUGCGAAUACCGGAGAAUGUUAUCACGGGAGACACACGGCGGGUGCUAACGUCCGUCGUGAAGAGGGAAACAACCCAGACCGCCAGCUAAGGUCCCAAAGUCAUGGUUAAGUGGGAAACGAUGUGGGAAGGCCCAGACAGCCAGGAUGUUGGCUUAGAAGCAGCCAUCAUUUAAAGAAAGCGUAAUAGCUCACUGGUCGAGUCGGCCUGCGCGGAAGAUGUAACGGGGCUAAACCAUGCACCGAAGCUGCGGCAGCGAACGUAUCACCCAAGACAACUUUACGGAGUUGACGAUUGACGGAGCGAAGCGACGUCAAAGCGUUCAUUAAAGUCGAGUUGGCUUAGGGAUACG
rnacentral:rRNA from 2 species